GGCCCAGUAGCGGAUGGUCCGCGCCUGCUUUAGAUCCGCAUCCCUCGCAGAAGCCUCUAAACGCAGGAAUCGCUCGUUCGAAUCGAGCCUGGGCCU